rnacentral:rRNA from 1 species
CUUGACACUGAACAUUGAGCCUUGAUGUGUAGGAUAGGUGGGAGGCUUUGAAGUGUGGACGCCAGUCUGCAUGGAGCCGGCCUUGAAAUACCACCCUUUAAUGUUUGAUGUUCUAACGUUGGCCCCUUACCGGGGUUGCGGACAGUGUCUGGUGGGUAGUUUGACUGGGGCGGUCUCCUCCUAAAGAGUAACGGAGGAGCACGAAGGUUGGCUAAUCCUGGUCGGACAUCAGGAGGUUAGUGCAAUGGCAUAAGCCA